rnacentral:lncRNA from 1 species
UCCUUCUCUCCCAUUUAUAAACCCCUUCCUCCUAUCCCUAAACUUCCUCCAAAGAAAUCCUUCCCUCCAAUUUACAAACCUAUUCCACCUAUUCCAAAGUUUCCUCCUGUUUACAAAAAGCCAUUGCCUCCACUUCCAAAACUUCCUCCAAAGAAAUCCUUCCCUCCAAUUUAUAAACCUAUUCCACCUGUUCCAAAGUUUCCUCCGGUUUACAAGAAGCCAUUGCCACCAAUUCCAGAACUUCCUCCAAAGAAAUCCUUCCCUCCAAUUUACAAACCUAUUCCACCUAUUCCAAAGUUUCCUCCAUUGCCACCAAUUCCAGAACUUCCUCCAAAGAAAUCCUUCCCUUCAAUUUAUAAACCUAUUCCACCUGUUCCAAAGUUUCCUCCAGUUUACAAGAAGCCAUUGCCACCAAUUCCAGACCUUCCUCCAAUGAAAUCCUUCCCUCCAAUUUACAAACCUAUUCCAU